AAAGUGAAGAACUUACAGGAAUAUAUGAAUUCUUUUUCUGUAUUUUAUUUUCAUUAUUUCUGUAUUUCCCCUAUGACCUGUAUAAUAUGUGCAGGCUCAUAUUUACUUGAGCCUUGGCAGCUACAAACAUAUUUACUUAACCUGACCUGAUGACAUUUAUCAGUAUUUGACAUUUAGUGAUAUUUAGUCUAUUAGCUGGACCACUAUCUGCUUAUUAAGCCUUAAGGCCUGAUUUUCCGUUUCCCAGAAAUCAGGUGAUUUCGGGGAAACAGAAACCUUCCAUUCCAAUCUCCCCAAAUAGUAACAACCAAUUAGAUGCCUCUCCCUCCCCUUCUCAAUGCUCUCUUACUUGUGAUGUAAUCUCUUGUAUAAAAGCUAUGUAUCUUUACUACUUCUUUAGCCCUCCUACCACGAGCUUUCUCUUUCUUAUCUUGUAAUGGGAUGGCUUAUCCUCCGGAGGUUUUUAAUAAACAACUUUUUGGCUUUCUACUGAAUGAUCUCUCAGUAGUCAUUUUGUGUAAGGAUCUUCUUCAUCCCUCGCAGAGAUAAGGACUGAACUAAGAUGGAGAGAAUGGAUCAGAUGGCAGAGAGAUGUUGUGGAGGGACAUGACGACUAAAUACGUGGGUGAGGAAGGAUCAGAGAUUCAUCUAGUCCAGCUUCCUCAUUACAUCAACGGGAUGUAGCUUCCCAGAGAGAUAAAAUGUUUUCAAGCUGUCUGGAGGAAGAUCUUUGUGACUAUGUGUAGCAGACGAGUAGUUCUGCUGUCCUGAAAGGAAUACAUCAUCUUGGCAUGGAUCUCCAGGACUAUCGCAUGUCUGGGGAUGCUUGAAAUGAGGGAGGAGGGGAAAUAAAAAAAAAUUAAAACAAA